UAUGUUUGUUGUGGGCAAAUUAUUUCCCCACACAUUGUGGACGGUGUGUUUCUCCAGAGCGAAGACUCCUGCGCUCUUGGAUCAAAAGCCUCAUCGCCAUGAUGCGCUUCAGCUGCUGGAAGCCUCCAAACUUGAGAUGAUGACGUCCUGCAAGAGAAAAUCCUGCAUCUGUGAACACAUGAUGGAAAUCUGCAGGUAGCGACGCAGAUCUCAGCCUGUGAGGCAGCAGGAGCCUCUGGACCCUUCAGGCUCAUUUAGUUCAAACUACGACAGUAAUAAUAACGAAGACUGACACACAGGUGACACCCGGAGCUCUCCCAUGUUUAGUGAGUUUUAAAACAAACCCAACAUCAGCCCCACUCAGCUCGGGCCCAGUGCUCCGCCGCGCAGCCGAGCUCUGGCUCCCCCUAGCCGUGCCUCCAUGUUUCCUCGUUAAUGCACACCCAACACUGGCCCUCCCUGGUCUAUCUCACACAUUAAACCACCUAAAAACACCUGGAAACCUCCGUUUCUCUUCCCAAACGUGGAGUUCACCCUCUCAGUGUGCCUCUCAGCCCACACUGGGCUCCCCAAGCCCCAGUGGGACAGAGGAUUUCUUACCUUUUCACAGCAGCUGGGACUGAACCUCCCUCACUAGAGUCCCAACCUCGACAACCUCCUUCUUCUUCCCAGCAAUCCCUGCAAAAAAGGACACUUCCAUGUAUGCUGAACAUGUAGGGGUGAUCAAAUUGGACUGGGUCGUUUUUAAAGAGCCAAAAAGGCCCCCAAAACCCCAAAAGGGCCCAUUUUGCACCAAUAAUAAACUAGCUCCAAAUUGCCAUUUUAAAAUUUCUUGACAAUGGUUUUAAACAGUAGAACCCACUCCUCAUAUACACCUUGGUCUACCCCUAUGGUUUGAACUUAUUUUGGCCCAUCCAGUUGUCAUACAGUAGAUUCCAAUGAACCAGGGACAGUCGGUGCGCAGCUGAGCUUUCUGAGACUUUCAGUUGCGUUUAUGUGCGUUUCCAAAGCCCUGGAGCAUCUGGGACAGGCUACAGACAGUCUCUUUGUGGGAUUCGUGGAUCAAUGAGACCCUUUUCUUGUGGACUGGAGCAAAAAAACUCAAAGGGAAAUAUUUUCGCGAGAGCAGAGUCCAACAGCACAAAAAGAAAGCUAUGGAUCCAUAUGGGCAUCUCCAAAAGUGCGCACGUGUAUCCAAAGGCACAAAGGGAUCUCCAAAGGCUCCAAGAAGGGAAAGUUAAAGUUUAUCCAGCAUAAAAGGUAAUUUAAAUCAUAAAUUUGUCUAAAUUAUAUCAGUUGUACGCAAAAAUUGAAGGUUACACUCAAAGAAACGUCGAAUUUGAAGUCCAGUAGAAAGCAAAUUGCGAGGAGAGAAUUGUUCCAAAUGGCGCAGUGGCACUGUAGACACUGAAGUGAUUAAUUCCUCAUAUUUAAAUGUAUUAUUUUCUUAAAUAUUUACUAAGAAAUACUCACAGAACAUUAGCAAAGAUCACAGGUUAAAAAUAUCUAUAUAUCUGAUCAUCAGUAUCCAUUAAUCAGGCGUAACCCUGAAUUGUAAACGCACCAUUCA